rnacentral:tRNA from 1 species
GGAGAGGUGGCAGAGUGGUUGAAAUGUACCGCACUCGAAAUGCGGCGUACGUGGAAGCGUACCGGGGGUUCGAAUCCCCCCCUCUCCGCCA